rnacentral:rRNA from 1 species
CCACAAUGGGACUGAAACACGGCCCAUACUCCUACGGGAGGCAGCAGCAGGGAAUAUUGCACAAUAGGCGGAAGCCUGAUGCAGCGACGCCGCGUGAGUGAAGAAGGCCUUCGGGUCGUAAAGCUCUUUUGUAGGGGAAGAGGAAGGACGGUACCCUAAGAAAAAGCGUCGGCUAACUACGUGCCAGCAGCCGCGGUAAGACGUAGGACGCGAGCGUUAUCCGGAAUUACUGGGCGUAAAGGGGCCAGCAGGCGGCUUGGUAAGUUGUGCGUGAAAGCCUCGUGCUCAACGCGAGGAAGCCGGACAAUACUGUCAAGCUAGAGGGCAUCAGAGGGGAGUGGAAUUCCCGGAGUAGCGGUAAAAUGCGCAGAUAUCGGGAGGAACACCGAUGGCGAAGGCAGCUCCCUGGGAUGCACCUGACGCUAAGAGGCGAAAGCUAGGGGAGCGAACAGGAUUAGAGACCCUGGUAGUCCUAGCUGUAAACGCUGGGUGCUAGGUGUGGGACGUAGAAGUUCCGUGCCGGAGCAAACGCGAUAAGCACCCCGCCUGGGAAUUACGGUCGCAAGGCUAAAACUCAAACGAAUUGACGGGGCCCCGCACAAGCAGCGGAGCGUGUGGUUCAAUUCGAUGCUACACGAAGAACCUUACCUGGGUUUGACAUGUACGUGGUACGAGGGCGAAAGCCCAAGGACCCUUCGGGGAGCGUACACAGGUGCUGCAUGGCUGUCGUCAGCUCGUGCCGUGAGGUGUCGGGUUAAGUCCCGUAACGAGCGCAACCCUUGCCCUUAGUUACAAGUGUCUAAGGGGACUGCCGGCGGGAAGCCGGAGGAAGGUGGGGAUGACGUCAAGUCAGCAUGGCCCUUAUGUCCAGGGCUACACACACGCUACAAUGGUCAGUACAAAGGGUAGCGAAGUCGCGAGGCGGAGCGAAUCUCAACAAAGCUGAUCGUAGUUCGGAUUGCGGGCUGCAACCCGCCUGCAUGAAGCUGGAGUUGCUAGUAACCGCGCGUCAGCCAUAGUGCGGUGAAUACGUACCCGGGGCUUGUACACACCGCCCGUCACGUCAUGGGAGUCGGUAACGCCUGAAGCCGGUAGUCUGGCCCGCGAGGGGGACGCUGUCGAAGGCGGGACUGGCAAACUGGGACGAAGUCGUA